UUGGCUUAACAGCAACCCUCUUUGGUGUUUGUGUUUUGUUAGUUUAUUCUUCUGCCCAUGUAUGAGCUUUCUUUUUGUCGCAUGUAGAAAGGGAGCCUGAGCCGGUUCCUGACAGUAUUCAAAGAUAUAGACUAAAGCUUAGAUAGUUAAAAAAAAAACAUCUCCAGAUAUACAUGCCUCAUUAUGGCUAGAUGAAAGCCAAGAAUCAAAAUUCUUGGUCUUGGGAGAGAAAAAAGACGAAAAGUUGUUGCUGUUGUAUUGACCUCUUUUGACUUUCUCCCUUCCUCCACUUACCUUUGAAGUAGGUAAAGCUCGGCGAGAAAACCCUACACAGCUUCUGCACGAUUUGAAAACUGGCAGCACUGAAGUUGACAAGUGGAAGACAAAUCGGGCCAUCACCACUCUAAACGGAGAACCCACUUUAAGUUGGCAUAGAGGUCUUGGUUGCAAGGAGAGAUGGCCAAACCUCCCUCUCCCUGGCCACCUCAUCCAGCUCCUCAAGGGAAGCACCAAAGCAUUCCUACAUGUAAGCCAAUCGAGAGCAAUAACCUAUCCAGCAUAUAUCCUAGGUCUGCUCCAAGGCCUCUUCCCAGCAAGACAUGCUCAAAACACCUCAUCUAGGAGGAUCCCUAGUCAGAAUCACCUCGUGUAGCUUCUUUUGACGUGGAGGAGAAGCAGCUCUACUAUGAGACCCUCCUCACCCUCUAAGGGGGAAGUUUGUUUCACCCACUUGUAUCCACAAUCCUAUUUUGUCUACCCACAGCUCAUGGCAACAGGUGAGGAUAGGGAUGCACAUCAAACAGUAAAUCAAUGUAUUUGCUGCCAUACUCAGCUCCCUCAUCACUGCUGACACCGCGCUGGUUCAUAACCAGUCCAUCUCAUGUUAUGUAGCUAAAAGUAACCACUAACCAGUUCCGCCAUUGUGAGUUCUGUGUAGACAUUCAGAAUGAUGAUCUGCAGGUUUAGAUCAUGAAAGCUCAUUUUAGAUCGUUCUUGUUUUCCUGGCUGUAGUCAGCUGUGUUGUUCGCUCUUGGUACACAAUUCUUUUCGUUCCAGCGAAACGCUAAAUGAGAACAAGAAUAAUUUAACAGUUGUAUAAGAAAUACUUGAUGUUUAUGUCAUGUUCAGCUGUAAAUCAUCACCACCUAUCCCAACCGAUCGACAAUACAGUCUGUAAUAAAGCAAGCCACAUGCGUCAAUUAUAAAACAGAGUGACAUUAAGAUUUGAUGCUGACACUCCUCCCAUAAGUCACAGCAUGCUCAUUAAGAAGACAUGUGGUUAUUCCUCCAUGCAGAUUCUUCUUCUUCUUGAUUUGAAUUCUGAAGGAUUUUACUGUACACCCGGGGACUCCUGUUUUCAUCACGCUGUAGAUCUGCCUUAAUUACAAAAAGCCACAUAAA